rnacentral:pre_miRNA from 1 species
UGGCAAGAUACUGGCGAAGCUGAAUGGUCGAGGUGAAAAUCAGCUUCGGCAACUCUUGCUAUGU